CUCCACAGUACUGGUAAAUCAUUUGUCUUAUAUUAUGAAAACAAAAAAAGUAAAUUGAUAUGAAAAAACUUACAGGUGGCAGAUCGUUAAAGAACUUCUAAGGAUAACUUCGAUGGAAACAAGCAAGGACUACAAAAAGAUUGGUUAGUACAUAAAUAGGGUUUCAAUAUAUACUAUAAUUCAAAUACAAGACUUAUAUGAAGCAC
rnacentral:lncRNA from 1 species